rnacentral:rRNA from 1 species
GCAGAGCACUCUUACGGGAGGCAGCAGUGGGGAAUAUUGCACAAUGGGCGCAAGCCUGAUGCAGCCAUGCCGCGUGUAUGAAGAAGGCCUUCGGGUUGUAAAGUACUUUCAGCAGUGAGGAAGGUGGGUAUGUUAAUAGCAUACUCAUUUGACGUUAGCUGCAGAAGAAGCACCGGCUAACUCCGUGCCAGCAGCCGCGGUAAUACGGAGGGUGCGAGCGUUAAUCGGAAUUACUGGGCGUAAAGCGCAUGCAGGUGGUUUGUUAAGUCAGAUGUGAAAGCCCGGGGCUCAACCUCGGAAUUGCAUUUGAAACUGGCAAACUAGAGUACUGUAGAGGGGGUAGAAUUUCAGGUGUAGCGGUGAAAUGCGUAGAGAUCUGAAGGAAUACCGGUGGCGAAGGCGGCCCCCUGGACAGAUACUGACACUCAGAUGCGAAAGCGUGGGGAGCAAACAGGAUUAGAUACCCUGGUAG